rnacentral:rRNA from 1 species
UACGUAGGUGGCAAGCGUUGUCCGGAUUUACUGGGCGUAAAGAGCGCGCAGGCGGUCGUUCAAGUCGCGUGUGAAAGCCCCCGGCUCAACUGGGGAGGGUCACGCGAUACUGAUCGACUCGAAGGCAGGAGAGGGAAGUGGAAUUCCCGGUGUAGUGGUGAAAUGCGUAGAUAUCGGGAGGAACACCAGUGGCGAAGGCGGCUUUCUGGGCAUUUCCUGACGCUGAGACGCGAAAGCGUGGGGAGCGAACCGG